UUAGAUUAAUUGGACAGCCUAAAUUGGAUGCAGGUGCGAGUGUGAGGUGCUCAAUCCCGUAAUCAAGGCUGAGGUCAGUAGGGCGUUUGAUUUUGUUAAGUAAUUAACAAAAAGUUCAGCAGACCGAAGGGGAAAAGGAGAAAGUGUAAACGACAAAGGCCAAGACACUGCCUGGGACCCCGUCAAACCGGCGGUCGAAAUGCGGGAGGUGCGCAGGUGCAGUUCCCCAGAGUUGACACAGUGGGGCAGCGUUGCAGUGGCACAGAACUGGAGGAGGGGAGAAGCUGGAGAAUGGUCAGGGCCGACGCGAGAGAAACAGGCCCGGAGGAAACGCAGCGUUGCCGUGCCGACGCGCCGACCCCGGCAGACCUGGCUGGCUGAUCAGAGCCGCGUGCGCUCGCUCGCGUCCCGGAGGCCAAAGCUGCGCUUCACAGCGAAGCGUAAAAGGGCGUCGAGAAGAAAGAGCCUCGUGCAUCCCAGAAAUAAACAAAUACUCUGCCCUGAAGCUGAGGCUCAGACGGGCUUCUGUUCCCUAUUCGAAAGAAUCUGUGACAUCACAGUAUGUUGCCGAUGGCAACAACUAGAGGGGUGGUAAGAGGCACAAAUAAUAAUAAUAAUAACCGUGAAUUGAACAUAAGAUAACUUGAC